AGUGAACGCUGGCGGUAGGCCUAACACAUGCAAGUCGAACGGCAGCACAGUAAGAGCUUGCUCUUACGGGUGGCGAGUGGCGGACGGGAGAGGAAAACAACGGAAUCUACUUUUUCGGGGGGGAUAACGUAGGGAAACUUACGCUAAUACAGCAUACGACCUACGGGUGAAAGCAGGGGAUCUUCGGAGCUUGCGCGAAUGAAUGAGCCGAUGUCGGAUUAGCUAGUUGGCGGGGUAAAGGCCCACCAAGGCGACGAUCCGUAGCUCGUCUGAGAGGAUGAUCAGCCACACUGGAACUGGGACGCGGUCCAGACUCCUGCGGGAGGCCGCAGUGUGGAAUGUUGGACAAUGGGCGCAAGCCUGAUCCAGCCAUACCGCGUGGGUGAAGAAGGCCUUCGGGUUGUAAAGCCCUUUUGUUGGGAAAGAAAAGCAGCAGGUUAAUACCCCGCUGUUCUGACGGUAACCAAAGAAUAAGCACCGGCUAACUUCGUG
rnacentral:rRNA from 1 species